GACGAACCGAGCGGACGUUGUUCGGAAUCACUGGGCUUAAAGGGCGCGUAGGCGGGCUGCCAAGUCCGUGGUGAAAUCCCCCGGCUCAACCGGGGAAGGGCCUCGGAUACUGGCGGCCUCGAGGGGGGUAGGGGCGUGCGGAACUGUGGGUGGAGCGGUGAAAUGCGUUGAUAUCCACAGGAACUCCGGUGGCGAAGGCGGCACGCUGGACCUCAUCUGACGCUGAGGCGCGAAAGCCAGGGGAGCGAACGGG
rnacentral:rRNA from 1 species